rnacentral:rRNA from 1 species
UGCCAGCAGCCGCGGUAAUACGGAGGGUGCGAGCGUUAAUCGGAAUUACUGGGCGUAAAGCGUACGCAGGCGGUUUGUUAAGCGAGAUGUGAAAGCCCCGGGCUCAACCUGGGAACUGCAUUUCGAACUGGCAAACUAGAGUGUGAUAGAGGGUGGUAGAAUUUCAGGUGUAGCGGUGAAAUGCGUAGAGAUCUGAAGGAAUACCGAUGGCGAAGGCAGCCACCUGGGUCAACACUGACGCUCAUGUACGAAAGCGUGGGGAGCAAAUGCAGUUCCCAG